UUAUUUUUUAUUUUUUGUUUGGUGCUGCUUUGGUUUUUAUUAUUUAUCCAAUUUUAUUUCUACUGUAGAUUACACGUAGCCUUUAAUGUACACCUUUGGUCAUUGGUCUUCAACACGUGUUCUGUUUUUGGAAUUUUCCACCGCCCCGUCGUUAAACUGCCUUUUCAAACAGAGGGAAACAAAUUGGUCUUCACUCCGUUGUCUGAUAUCCCUACUUCUCUCUCACCCUGCUUCUUCCGGCCAGACCCACCGACUCAUCGAUCUUAUCGUUGGCUAUGAAUGUGAUGCUCUCAUUGUAGCAACAACGGCCACAACUCACGCACAUGUCCGUCGUGAGGCGGUGGUGUUACAGAACCAAGUGUUCGGUCCAGAUUCUUCUCGGGUAUAACACCCACCGUCCACCGCCUGCCUCCAUUUUUUUCGUCCCUUAUAUCACCCUCUUCUGCUUUCGUUCCGAUUUUUCUGUCGGUUGGCUGGGUGAGGCGACCUUAACCGCUCCACAAGACCCUAAUUUCUUCAUUCGGCUGCGGUUUGGGACCGUCCAUAUUCACUCCCUCUUGUCACCGCCAUCCAUCUCCAACAACCCAAUGCGUACAUAUGUGAUUUCUACCGACUCCGUCGCCGAUCGUCAAAGCUAUUGCUCCAGCACACAAGUCUAUUGAUCCACCGUCGUCGUCUGAAAAUCCUUUUCCGGCUUCUAAUUGUGUUUUUUCCACCUACUUCUUCCUAGGGAUAGCUAUCGAGAACGAUCUAGAGCUUUACAUUUCAAUGGUGAUUGACAUCUUUAUGGAUGAAGAAAAUGGUAUUUUGGAGUUUGUGUAAUGUAUGCUGACAGCAUUCAGAUUGAGAAAGUUUUUAUGCGUGACCUGGAUGGAAUGACUGGUAAACCCUACUUGGGUCCUCCCUUCAAUGAAUUGGAUGAUGAACUGCAAACUUCACUGUAUGAUUUCCUAGAGAAAAGGGGCAUAAAUGAUGAACUAGCUCUCUUCUUGCAUUAAUGUAUGCACCACAAAAGUAAGAAUGAGUAUACUCAAUGGAUGGAAUGCGUGGAAUCUUUUGUGGCACAGAAUAAAUAAGGUCAAAAUCACAGUAACUGAAAAGCCUUAUGAGAAUCCAUAAGUGAGGUCUCAGAUCACCUUUUUUGCUCUUAAGAGUCUAAAUACAUUAUGAUUUAUGAUUUAUCUGUUUCAUGUUGGUUGUGGAACAGUUUAUUGGUGGAGGCUCUGUGGGAUGGAUGACAUUUACCUUUUAAAAAAAAAAAAAAAAAUUGUUUACAGAACCACCAUGUGGAUACAAAGAUAUAAAACCUUGGUCUUUUGUUGCAGUGAUGGUUGAAUACUCUUACCUUUUUUUUCUGACAAACUCAUUUUCCUUAUCAUUAUUAGAAAGCUAGACCUAUAUUCUUAGAAUAUUUAGGAAUUUACGUAUUACCUUGGAUGUGCGAUAUAGGUGAGAAACUACUGGGUUUAAGUGAUAAAGUCACAAGCUAGAGUUAUAGCGAUGAGUAUUAGAAGCAAUGAUCACAUAGGUUGUGUAUCUGAACCUACCCUAACACCUAUCUUCUGUAUAGUUCAGCACUAACUUUUGUGUUAUCUCUGUUUCAUUUCGCUUUUGAUGGAUUACGACACACCUAAGAUAGCUUGUGGGAAUGAUGAACCUCCAAAGGUCAGGGCCUACAUACACUGCCAACUACCCUUUUGGAACAUCGUUUGGUUAAUGUAAUCUUUGUCAGGUGAUAUUUCUUUAUGGCUUUAUGUUCUGUUACAGUGUGAUAUGCUAGACUCAACUCAUAGGGUAAGAAAGGGCACUGCUAGAUUAAGUUAUGAACCUGCAAGUUGUCCUUCCCAACUCCGUUUAAGGUGAUUAUGUUAAAGUGGCGUUUUUAAUUGAUUUCCCCUGUAUAUCACACAAAUGACAACUGCAUUGAAUACUUUUACACUUUUAGCAUAUUUCAACCGCAUGCAUACAAAGAUAGAGAAAAGAAUUGUUGAAAAGGGUAACUUUUAGAAAACUUAAGAAAAAUACAUGUCAAACAAUUACAGGAGUAAAAAUUAGCAAUAAAAACUGUUUUUGAUAAUUUUGUCUAAAUAAAAAUAAAAUUCCAGUAAGUUGAUUGUUAUUUACUUAGCACUUACUUUUUUAAUAUAACAUUUAACUUAAAAAUAUGAUAUUUCAUAUGUAUAUUGUCUUAUGUUUACUGUUUUACAUUUGCAAUCUAUAUAUUUGAUGUUGUGCCCUUAUGAUGUCAAUAAUUCCUUUAAACCGAUGUUUGUUGAUUGUGGUAUUGUAACCUGAUAUGCCUGCAAAUUUGGUGGGGAUCAAAGGAAUAAUAUUGAUCCAUCAGUAAAAUAAGAAUUUUUGCCUACGUGCGUCGAAGGUCCUCUAAUUUUUCACCAUAGACAUUUAUGAGUUAUCUAAAUAAUGCCUUCUACACUAAUUCAGGUACAUCAAAGUUUUCUGUAACCGGGAUAGGUGGUGGUGAUGAUGGCAGGAAGGGAAAUAGGGGGUAAAUUGAUCAUUGCAGGAGCAGGAAAAAGUUGAAGCAUUAAUGGCAAAAACUCUGGCAACUGUAUUAUUGCUUUUGCAGCUUAGGAUUAGACUUUACAUUCUUAUACAACUUAAUCAAAUUUAGUUUUUUGUAACUUUAUGUUACCGAUGACCUCUCCAUUAAAGAUAAUAUAGUUUUCAUGAUAGGAUCUAUACACAAAAGGAUUGCAAAGUACAAGUCUGUGAUCAAAAAUAAACCCGUCGAAUAGAAAACAAGUUUAAUGUUAUAGAAAACACAUUUAAUGUAAUUAGUUCAAUGUAACUUUAUAACAUUUUUCCGUUUUGUUGUAUUCUUUGGU